rnacentral:RNase_P_RNA from 1 species
UCAGACGGUCGGAUAAUCGCUGGUGCAAACCAGAGGAAAGUCCGGGCUUCACGGAAACACGAUACUGGAUAACGUCCAGGCGGGGAAACCCGACGGAAAGUGCCACAGAAAACAAACCGCCCGCUUGCCGGGCAAGGAUGAAAAGGCGGGGUAAGAGCCCACCGCAUUUUAAGCGAUUAAAAUGGCAUGGUAAACCCUAUCGGAAGCAAGACCAAGUGAAAGGGAGCGGAGUUUUACUUUGUAAGAAAGGUGUUUUCGACUUCUCCCGAAUAGGUAGGUUGCUAGAGGCGGCCAGCAAUGCCCGUCCCAGAUGAAUGAUUAUCGAUUACAGAACCCGGCUUAUAGACUGUCUGACAUU